UACGUAGGGCGCAAGCGUUAUCCGGAAUUAUUGGGCGUAAAGAGCUCGUAGGCGGUUUGUCGCGUCUGCCGUGAAAGUCCGGGGCUCAACCCCGGAUCUGCGGUGGGUACGGGCAGACUAGAGUGAUGUAGGGGAGACUGGAAUUCCUGGUGUAGCGGUGAAAUGCGCAGAUAUCAGGAGGAACACCGAUGGCGAAGGCAGGUCUCUGGGCAUUAACUGACGCUGGAGGAGCGAAAGCAUGGGGAGCGAACAGG
rnacentral:rRNA from 1 species